rnacentral:tRNA from 1 species
CUUCUCUUAGCUCAGUUGGUAGAGUAAUACAUUUUUAAUGUAUGGGUCAUGAGUUCGAAUCUCAUAGAGGAGAC